GUCUGCAAUGCGAUUUGCCUUUUAAUUAUACCUAAUUGUUAAACUGCCUCUCAGUGACCCACAGCGUUGCUUUGUCAUCCGUGGAUGGGGUUGUUUGUUUCUUCCCUACAUAAUUGGUGGCCAAAGGACUUAGAACAUCUCUCACAGGUAUAUUAAUCCACCGCAACUCCAGUUGCUCUGCUAAUCCUCCACUGACACAAAUGUACAUUCACACGAAGACACACACAGUCACAUGUGACCAGCUUACGCAAUGAAGCCAAGGCUUUAUAUACUACCUAUGGGCACUGGUCUCCCUCAAGGGAGAUCAUUACAGUGCAGGUGUGUGUCGGCCUAUCUAUCUGAGCGAGGGAGCGAGGAGUGUGUCUUUGGACACAGGGGAGAGCUGCUGCUGUUGCCACGUUCAUCCUGGUGGAGGAGACCGAGGCCAGAGAGACACAGAGGGCGAGGGAGCAAAGGGAUCCACAGUGAUAAAGUUGCCCAGCAGAAAGUCCUGAAGGCUGGUUGCAGAGGGGUUUUUUGUGGUCUCAGCUGCGAAGCACUGGAGAGAACAACAACCAUGUUUUUUCGCAUCCCUCGACUGACCCCUGGAUAUAUUAGAUAUCUCCAGACUCAGGCAGCCCAGACUGUGCUGCAGAGCCGGGAGGCCCCUGUGAUGUCGCGCAUGGCCAUCCUGCUGGGUCUCACAGGGAUUGGCAUGUCUGGCUACAGCUCCCGCCAACUCACACUGCACUACAAGCCGUCAAGUCACCUCUUAAGAUGAAACGGAUGGAGGGGGCACACACCCACACCCACACACACACACAAAUAUUUAACUUAAAGCUAAAGUCUGACAUUUUGGGAAAUAGGCUAUGCUUCUUUGGACUGUGUCUUGGCUCUGAGGAGUUGCCAGGCAACCAGCAGAGACUCCAGGAAGUCAGUGGUUGUGGUUAAGAAAUCAUCGCCACAUAACUCCCCUUUCUCAUCAAGAAAGCAAAUAAGUGUAUCUCCCAAAAUGUCGAACUAUUCCUUUAAAAGCAACAUGGAAAGACCAACAAGAUUGAAGGAAGCGAUGCUACCAGGUUUUGUUUUUGUUUUUCUCUGUGCAUCCCUUCUAAUAGACUAUGUGUGGUUCAAAGCCAAUGUCAUCCUUGUUCUGCAUUUCAUUGUGAUUUUGUUGUGUUUGAGAUUGUUGCCUUAAGGUUCUGUUUGUGCAGUAAAAAGCAAAAAAGAAAAGUCUCCCUGUUAAAAACUACCCCUCCUUCUAAGCACAGUGCUUUUUUUCUUGUGACUAAUAUGCUGUGGAACAGAAAGGCAGCUUUUGAUGUUUCUGAUGAACUUGGCUGAUGCUGUAAUUGAACCACAGUCCUUGCCCAUGCCCUGUGCCUUAUCAUGGGAGUAUUCAGUCAGAAUUUACCAUUCAAAUCAUUUUUUAAAACACACCAAUGGUCUUUAAAGACACUUUUCUAAAUGCAGCUUCAGCUGAACCCCAAGAAGUCUCUUCCAAAGUCCUUGGUCUUUUAAUCACUUUUCCUCCGGCAUUUUAGCAAUUUCCAUGAUGUAACACAGAGCUCCCAGGUCCCUACCUCUUUUGGAGGGCCGCAAGUGUUGUGAUGACUUAACCCGUUUACUCUUUUUGGAUUUCUUGGGUAAGAUUUCACAAGAGAGACAGAGAGAUAUCACAUCAGAAGCAGCUUCAACUCAGAGAGUCAAGGCUAUUAUAUUUCAGUCGGAUUUCAUUCUUCAUUCUGGAGUUGACAGUAUGAGUUUUGGCCUUUCUGAUAUCUCUCUCUCCUUUGUUUGCGUGACAAAAUACCAGAGGAGUACAUAAGGAAUUGCUCUCAAUCUGUUUGGCUGCGCUCAGCUCCUGAAAAUGCACAGAGAAAAUACUAUACAAACAGAAGCAUAAGAAAAGUGUGACCUUUGAUGUGUGAACAAUGCUACUUUGCACUUUUUAGUGUACAUAUCUUGUACAUAAUCAUGUACAUAUCACUUUGAUGCUGUAUGAGAUUAGUAGAGCAAGACAUUGAGUGCUACCAGCCUGUGUUGUGAGCUGGACAGGGCAGCAUCUAGCUGGAUUGACACACGGCACUGCUGAGUUGUUGUCAGGCAGAGGAACCAGGACAGCCACCCUGGAUACCACCUGAACCAACAUGUGAAUCCACCCGGAUCUCUCCCAGUUGCACACCCACUGUCAGACAAGAUGAAUGUAGCUGAAUGAUCACUAUGGUCUCUUAACAUAGGUAGACUUUUUUGGCUGUAAAUCUGUUGUGCAAAAUGCUUUGUAAUGGAAAAAAGCUUGACUUUGACAGCAUAUGAAUGUAUCACUGACGAAGAAUGAAAAUGAGCAGUUAUACUGUAAUUGUAAAGAUGAUUGUGUGUCCUAUCCUGGUUUAACAAAAGAGAGGUUAUGUAUAUAGUUUGAAUAUAUAAGAAAAGAUUAGCAUAUUAACAGGUUAUAAGGUGUGUGCAGUGAUACAGUGAUCCCUCAUAGAUCCUCUCACAAUACAGUCUUUUUUAGACCAGCUUACACUUACAUAUGAGGGGUCACUAACCCUGAAAUGGAGAAGUGUGGUUAUUUGUGUAAUUUGAGCUUGUGACUGGGAUUCUAAUUGAACAAGGGAUUUCAAAUGGUUGUAUGAUAUUGAUGAUGGAAGGAUGAUUUUGAAAAGUAUAGUGUUUAUCGUUUAUUGUUGCUGCAUAGCCAGUUUUGCUUGUGUGUUAGAUUUUUGUUUGUCGACUGUUAGUCAUCAUCAUGGUACAAAGGCAUAAGAUGUCUCAAAUGCCACACAACCAUUUUAUGAGUUUGUAAUGUGUACAUUUAUUACAAUCAUAUGUAAAUUUAUACAGAUUUUCAGGAGUUUGUGCUGUGAAUUAAUUACAGGGAAAUUUGAUCUUACAAAAGACACACAUUAUUUACUAUACAAAUUUGCAUAGGUGUAUUUAUACAGUAUAAGGGUGUUGCAUAUUUAGUAAGUUUGUAUAUCAUAUGGGUUGAGUAGUAAGUUAAAUUCAGUUGGCAUUAGACUUGUGCCGAUCGGAUCGUCUAUCUGUGAUCUCUGGUAAUGACAACAUAAUGAUAUGAAAAUAUAGAGGAUUACCCAACACUUGGUGGCAUUAUUCUUUAGAUUUGCCUUAGUGACGUGAAGCAUUAUAAAUGCAUAACAAAGCACAUUUGAACAUGCAUUAUUUUAUUUGAUUUACUCACUCUGUAUGCAAGAAUAAAUCAAAAAGAUUGUAAACAACUGGG